rnacentral:lncRNA from 10 species
UGCAACCUCCAGCUACCAGGUUCAAGUGAUCCUCCUGCCUCAGCCUCCUGAGUAGCUCGGAUUACAGGUGUGCACCACCAUGCCCAGCUAAUUUUUGUAUUUUUAGUAGAGACUAAUGGUUGCACAACUCUUAUUCAAAAUCAUUAAAUUAUAUACUUAAAACGGAUCCAUUUUAUGGUAGAUAAAUGAUACCUCAAUAAAACCAUUAAUCAAAUAUUAAUUGCAAAUAGAACUGAGAGUGGAGAAAUCAUUUCUGGUUUUGGACAUUAGGAAAGGCUUCCUGGAGGAGGUGGCAUACAUGAUGGACUUGAUAAGUUCCAUCCAGGAAAACUUGACUUCUCAAAUGAACUAAAUAAGCCACCAUGGACCAAUCCUGGAGAAACAGAGAUAUGUGACCUUUCAGAGAGAGAAUUCAAAAUAGCUGUGUUGGGGAAACUCAAAGAAAUUAAAGAUA